rnacentral:rRNA from 1 species
UACGGAGGGUGCGAGCGUUGUCCGGAAUCACUGGGCGUAAAGGGCGCGUAGGCGGCUGGGGAAGUCGGCGGUGAAAGCCCGGAGCUCAACUCCGGGUCGGCCGUCGAGACUCCUCGGCUCGAGCUCACUAGAGGCAGAUGGAAUUCCGGGUGUAGCGGUGGAAUGCGUAGAGAUCCGGAAGAACACCGGUGGCGAAGGCGGGUCUCUGGGCAGUAACUGACGCUGAGAAGCGAAAGCGUGGGGAGCGAACAGG